AUGAGAAUAACGAGAGAUAUCUUUCAGUAGAUAGCCGAAGAAGCAAUAUAAAAAGAGGCAUCUUUUUAUAGAAACUUUCAGGCAAAAGGAUCGUUAUUUGAUG
rnacentral:ncRNA from 14 species